CAGCCGCCGCGGUAAUACGGAGGGGGCUAGCGUUGUUCGGAAUUACUGGGCGUAAAGCGCACGUAGGCGGCUUGGUAAGUUAGAGGUGAAAGCCUGGAGCUCAACUCCAGAAUUGCCUUUAAGACUGCCGAGCUAGCAGGUGAGAGAGGUAAGUGGAAUUCCGAGUGUAGAGGUGAAAUUCGUAGAUAUUCGGAAGAACACCAGUGGCGAAGGCGGCUUACUGGCUCAUACUGGACGCUGAGGUGCGAAAGCGUGGGGAGCAAACAGGAUUAGAUACCCGGGUAGUCCCUGUCUCUUAUAC
rnacentral:rRNA from 1 species